GGGGGCAUAGCUCAGUUGGGAGAGCAGCAGACUGAAGUAUUAUGGUUUCAGACUCAUCUUUCUUCUACUUAAUUCUGAAGGUCCCGCGUUCAAUCCGCGGUGCCCCCA